GCCGGGGUGGCCGAGCGGUCUAAGGCGGCGGGCUGCAGGGCUAACCUUGGCAAGGGGUUCACGGAAACCCGUUUACUCGCGGGUUCGAAUCCCGCCCCCGGCU
rnacentral:tRNA from 1 species